CGCGAGCUCCGCCGUCCUACCCCUUGCCCUCACCGUCCGCAUGACCGCAGCCGCCCCUUGUUGCCGAUCCACCCAUCGACGCUUUGCCACGCGAAUUCGGCGAUGCCGUCAUCCCAGACGCGCGCCGCCCACCAAUCCGCCGAUCUGCCACAUGGCCUCGCCGCCGCAACACCACCUCGCCCCGCCGCAGUGCAGCCGCCAUGACAAGGAAACAGAUCCCCGACAGCGCGCUGCAACUCCACCUUCUCCGACGCGCCUCCUCGCUACACACUCGGCCUUCGAAGACCUGAGCGCUCAGAGUAUCACAGCGCCAUCCUGAACGCUUGGCAGUCGCGCGGAGACCUAAGUGCUGCAACGUCGGUCUGUCGCGCCAUCGCCGUCCCGCCGCUGCGCCGUCAACACGCCAUGCCUUCGUGGCUCCGUCCUGUGGAGCAGGUCGUGCCGCCGUCUCGACGCACGGAUAUCUUAGUGCUGCAACAUCCGGUUGUCGCGUCGCCAUCCGUCGUUGCUCCAUCGACCAGUCGUCCCGUUGCGGCGCCGUCCUGUGGAGCGGGUCGCACUCCCUCCCAUAGUCCCAUGCUCAUCCUCUCUCCUCCCACGGCUAUGAACUCAGACAACAAAAGGUAAGCAUAAUUUCCCUUCAUUUACCAUGAAUUUGGGUGCAAAAUCAAGAAGCCCUACAAUUAGGGGCAUGGCCAGUGCACCAACACUUGCCUUCCCGUCGACGGCGUCGGAUGACAGUGCAAUUGGAGCAAUGGUGGGUUCAUCUAGAGACACCAUCCCUCCGUUUGGUGGGCAGGGACUCCUGUAGGUCCAGAGGUGCCAGGCGAGGUCGAGGUUAGAUGCUGCGAAAUGCACCAAGCUCUCUGCUCACUAAAUGUUUGAUGGAAUGCCACAUUGGGCCAUCAAGUCGGAUGUUGCUGCGAUUUGUUUGAUUCAGUUCCCGGAGCAAACUGAGUCUAAUAUUCCAUCCUUGAACACUAUGUGUACCACUGCAGGAAGGAAGUAUCCUGGGCUUAGGAAGACAAGUACUUGUGUCUAUGUCUCGCUAUCAAUUUGUAUUUAUGCCUCUGCAUCAAACUUAUUUGGUGUCGUAAUUUACUUGAUACAAGAGACUAAUGGUGCAUCUGAAUUGUUUAUCACACAAAAUCUAAAUGAAAAAAAUUGCAUUUUCAUUAACUGAGCUAUGCUUGGUGUUGAUUGGUUUAUUUCAUCCAAACUCAAUUAUCCCACUGGAAUUCACAACAACAAAAAAAAAGGUAUAUAUACCUUCUGGCACUAAAUAGUGUGUACAUUAUUAUAAAUUGGUUAUGUCUUUAUUUGCUACAUUAAUCGUGAGAGUUGGUAUAUAUUUGAUCGCUUCAGCAAUUAUUUUUAUAUCACAGGUAGAGAUACAAGAAUUAAAAGGGAAGAUUGAUUCAGCCAGAUUCUGUCUGAAAAGAUUCUUCAGUGCAUGGAGAUUCACUUUUUCUUUGGCUAAACCACCCUAUUCCCCAUUUGGUUGUGAUGAUGAUAGGUGGAGGAAAUUUUGAACCUUUCCCCAUUAAAUGAGAAAGGCUUGAUGGUUAUCUCCAAUCAUUUGUAGAAACAAAAGACAGCAGACCACAAGGAUAACAGCUAGAUUUUGCGAGGAUUUCAGUGGCCUCCUUGACCACCUCAACACCUGCAGAUGCGAACAACGUUUGCGAUCCACAUCCACACAAAGCUGAUCCUAAAGAACGUAAGCGGAAGAGGGGCAAGGUCUGAUAUGCAGCAGUGUCUGACGAACAGAAGUGUGGAAAAAAAGUGUCAUGAAGCAUAUCAAAGAAAUUAAAGAAAUGUCAUGAACUAAAUAUUGAUAACGUUGGCCAAGGACAAUUGUAACAUUGGCAGUGGAAAGGUAACCAACCAGUUUACAUGUAUUGUGUACUUCUAUGAGGCAUGUGCUCAUCAUCUACUAAUCUACUCCCUCCGUCCCAAAAAAGAAGUCAUCCUAGGAAUUCUAG